CUACGGGAGGCAGCAGUGGGGAAUAUUGGACAAUGGGGGAAACCCUGAUCCAGCAAUGCCGCGUGUGUGAAGAAGGCCUGCGGGUUGUAAAGCACUUUCGGUUGGGAGGACUGCUUCUAGCACUAAUAUUGUUGGAAGUUGACGUUACCUUCAGAAGAAGCACCGGCUAACUCCGCGCCGAGCAGCCGCGGUAAUACGGGGGGUGCAAGCGUUAAUCGGAAUUACUGGGCGUAAAGCGCGCGUAGGCGGCUAGAUCAGUCGGGUGUGAAAGCCCCGGGCUUAACCUGGGAACUGCAUCCGAUACUGUCUAGCUUGAGUACAGGAGAGGAGAGUGGAAUUCCACAUGUAGCGGUGAAAUGCGUAGAUAUGUGGAGGAACACCAAUGGCGAAGGCAGCUCUCUGGCCUGAUACUGACGCUGAGGUGCGAAAGCGUGGGGAGCAAACAGGAUUAGAUACCCGUGUAGUC
rnacentral:rRNA from 1 species